rnacentral:lncRNA from 1 species
CGCGGAACGACAUGGGCAGCCCCGGCGGAAACUGCAGGCACAAGCCGGGACGCCGCGGGUUUAAAACAUGCGCGUGAGAGGAAGACAAACAUAAAGAUGAAGUGCUUAAUUCAAGGUCACACAAUGUCGGGGAUGGACCUCCAGAUUUCCUUACUGGUGAGACGUGGUCUUGUAACACAGUGGUUAAGAAUGUGACUUUGGAGCCAGCCUGCUAGGGGCUGAAUUCUGACUCAGCCAUUUACUAACUGUGUGACCUUAGGUCACAGAAUUUUCCACACUCCUUGACAGAGGUGCUUAACCCUUAUCCAUCAGCAUUCUCAGACAGCACCUCCGGUUAGGGACAGUAUCUGACCGUCCGACAUCCCUGCAGCCCCCAUGUGUCACACAGACUCAGCCUCAGGUAGAUGGUUUCCGUAGAUGGUGGCUUUCUUUGGACCCUUGACAUCAACCAGUUACUAUUUGACUCUUCUGCAGAACCCCAUGUUGACCCCUGCUUUGAGGUGGCAGAGUUAACACUACUCUUCGUUAUAAGCUCUCGUCUGGGGCAACUCAGAAGAACGGGACCAGAUGUGCAGAGGUAAUGAAUACCAGGGAAUCAGGAAACCACUGGAUCAGUUCUUUGAGCCACAGAACAACACUCAUCCCAGCAGCUGGGAAGCUAUCUGCAAAAGUCCAUCUGCAGAAAGGGCUUCCUGGUCUUGCGUGUGGCUGGGCCAUUUCUCUGGAUGCAGGUUUUUCAUUAUACAGUCUUCUCAAAGAACCACCUGCUCUCAACACCUUCUCGGUGACUCCAUUUCCCCUCCUCUGGGCUCCUGGAAUGCCACAAUGGCCCCACCUUAGCCAGGCAGCUGUGAUGAGAGGUGUUGACCCAACUGCCUCUCUGCUGGCUCACUGAAUCAGGU